GAUGAACGCUGGCGGCGUGCCUAAUACAUGCAAGUCGAGCGAACAGACGAGGAGCUUGCUCCUCUGACGUUAGCGGCGGACGGGUGAGUAACACGUGGAUAACCUACCUAUAAGACUGGGAUAACUUCGGGAAACCGGAGCUAAUACCGGAUAAUAUAUUGAACCGCAUGGUUCAAUAGUGAAAGACGGUUUUGCUGUCACUUAUAGAUGGAUCCGCGCCGCAUUAGCUAGUUGGUAAGGUAACGGCUUACCAAGGCAACGAUGCGUAGCCGACCUGAGAGGGUGAACGGCCAAACUGGAACUGAGACACGGUCCAGACUCCUAAGGGAGGCAGCAGUAGGGAAUCUUCCGCAAUGGGCGAAAGCCUGACGGAGCAACGCCGCGUGAGUGAUGAAGGUCUUCGGAUCGUAAAACUCUGUUAUUAGGGAAGAACAAAUGUGUAAGUAACUAUGCACGUCUUGACGGUACCUAAUCAGAAAGCCACGGCUAACUACGUG
rnacentral:rRNA from 1 species